UACGGGGGGGGCAAGCGUUGUUCGGAAUUACUGGGCGUAAAGGGCUCGUAGGCGGCCAACUAAGUCAGACGUGAAAUCCCUCGGCUUAACCGGGGAACUGCGUCUGAUACUGGAUGGCUUGAGUUUGGGAGAGGGAUGCGGAAUUCCAGGUGUAGCGGUGAAAUGCGUAGAUAUCUGGAGGAACACCGGUGGCGAAGGCGGCAUUCUGGACCAACACUGACGCUGAGGAGCGAAAGCCAGGGGAGCAAACGGG
rnacentral:rRNA from 1 species